GCAAGUCGAACGAUGAAGCAGAGCUUGCUCUGUGGAUUAGUGGCGCACGGGUGCGUAACACGUGGGAACCUGCCCUUUGGUACGGAACAACAGUUAGAAAUGACUGCUAAUACCGUAUAUGGCUUUGGCUGAAAGAUUUAUCGCCAAAGGAUGGGCCCGCGCUAGAUUAGUUUGUUGGUGGGGUAACGGCCUACCAAGACUACGAUCUAUAGCUGGUCUGAGAGGACGACC
rnacentral:rRNA from 1 species